AGGAAAAGGGGGGAAAAAAUGGCGGACUGCGUUGUUUGGCGACCCCCGUGAAAUGGUCGUUCGACCCCAAAUGGGGUCCCGAUCCACAGGUUGAGAACCACUGGCUUAGCAAGUCCCAGGUUGUUCCCCUGAGAUGGAUCCCCUCACCUGGGGAUGAUGGUUUGAGGGUUAGCACUUCCACCCAUCAGGUGAGGGAAAGCUGGGAAAAAUCAUUAGGGCUUGCUUCUGCCUUGGAGUGAGGUUGAGGGUAGAAGGAAGCAGCAUGUGCAACACACUCUAACAGCAAAAUUCUUGAUGCCUCUGACACAAGGAGAGAUAAUCUCUGAUUUGACCCACCCUGCUGGUGCAGUUUUAUUUCUCAGUCAAAUCAAGGGAAACCAUUAAUCAGUCUUUCCCAUCUAGUGCCCUAUAGGUGUUGAAGGCUCCCCCUCUGUGCCCCAGUGAAGACAUUUAGAGGAUAUGGGGAGAUUGCAAGAAGGAACCAAACAAACAGAAAUUAUGAUCAUAUGUUUGGGGGCUCUGUUCAACACAGGGAUUAUGUAGUAAUUGUGGAGUUUCAAGUUAAACUGUUACAAGUACUGAAAGGUAUUCAGUCUAAUCUGGAAGCAGACUGGACCUCUAAAGCAACCAGCAGCAUUUGACUAAUCUGCACCAUCCAGAUUUAAAGAGGACAUGCCCUGCAGAAAUGGCCCUGCAUUGUUCAGAUAUUCAUCUGUUGAUUUCUAUAGCACCCUCCAUCAGGAAGAAUUUCACAAAAACCUAGUAGAAUCUGAACAUGAAAUCUGAUACUUUGUAAAAACAAAUGUUAUAAAUUGAUGUUUCUUUGCUAGAUAGAACUCUCCCAAUAGCAUCUCCUUUAAAGGAUGCUUAACUUUUUUUCAGCUGAACGGUAUACCCAGAGCUGGACUCCAAAAGGUGGGUGGAAGAAGUGGACAAGGGCAUAAGAGGAAAGGGACGUGAUUCGGUUCAAUUGAAAAUGAGAUGAGGUGCAUUUCAUACGGUUCUAGUACAAUUUGAUGCAGAGAGUUAGAAAACUAAAUUGGAGAUUUUGGAGAGCUGGCUCAAAGAAGUUUCUCCUUAUUGUCCAUAAAACCCCAUAAAGCUACUUAUAGAGAAGGAGACUAGUAGUUAAUCUAGCUCUGUAUUGUUGACAUUGAUUGGUAGCUUCUCUUUAAAGUUGUAUAUGAUCUUUCCAAAUUUUACUUGCAGUUACCAAGGACUUAUCCUAGAAUCUUCUGUGUGCAUAUCAUGCUGUAUCUUUGAACUGUAACACUUUUCUAGAGGUUUUUUAAGGCUUCCCAGGGACAGACAAAUUUGACUUGUGUAUGUAUCCUUUUGGUACUGUCCAUGGAGUUUUCAUGGCAAAGAUACGGGAGUGGGUUGCCAUUUCCUUCUCCAGUGGAUCACAUUUUGUUAGAACUCUCUGAUGCUGGACUUAAAUGGACUCAAGAAGAUGAUAGAGGACAGGAAGGCCUGGAGGAACGUUGUCCAUGGGGUUGCGAUGGAUCGGACACGACUUCCCAACUAACAAUGACAAAAUUGAUAUUUGAGAAGGAUCAGCAUCCUCAGUAUGGAAAAGCUUGUGUGAAGAAUGGGAUGAGCAACUCCUUCCAUAUCUUAACAGAGAAGCUACUACCGUGCAAUCAUUGGUUGCAACAGGAAUUGACCCACCGGCUUGUCGCCCAAGCCUGAUCUUAUGGACUGACAGUGACUGGCUCAAAACACUCUCUAUGGAUUUAGGACUUUUCCUUUCUGUUGGUACUGUAUUUACAAUCCAUUGGUAUAUUUUGGAAAGACUUUGGCAACAACAGUCAAAGAAGCAGUGAUAGAUGAAGUUGAAUGUAGACCAGAAGACAGAAGACAUCCUGCACAGUCUCUCUGAUCCCCACCUGCAUGGAGCAUCUAAAGAUUGUUUCUAAAGCUUUACAAUAAAAAUAGCAUUGGCCUACAUGGCAUUGCUUGCCUAAUUUGGUGUAUCUUGAAGGGCUGGCAUCAAUCCUGCCAAGUAGGCUGGCAUCAAUCAAAUAAACUCCUCUCCUCCUUCCUUUUAUCUUCUAUGAACUAAGAAGUGGCUUAUCUGAGCAUUUACUCAAAUUACAUCUUUUAUCUGACUGUUGCCUUGGUAGCAGUUCUUCCUCCUAUCCCUCAAGGUCA